AACGAACGCUGGCGGCAUGCCUAACACAUGCAAGUCGAACGAGACCUUCGGGUCUAGUGGCGCACGGGUGCGUAACGCGUGGGAACCUGCCCUUAGGUUCGGAAUAACUCCCCGAAAGGGGUGCUAAUACCGGAUAAUGUCUUCGGACCAAAGAUUUAUCGCCUUUGGAUGGGCCCGCGUCGGAUUAGCUAGUUGGUAGGGUAAAAGCCUACCAAGGCGACGAUCCAUAGCUGGUCUGAGAGGAUGAUCAGCCACACUGGGACUGAGACACGGCCCAGACUCCUACGGGAGGCAGCAGUGGGGAAUAUUGGACAAUGGGCGAAAGCCUGAUCCAGCAGUGCCGCGUGAGUGAUGAAGGCCUUAGGGUUGUAAAGCUCUUUUACCCGGGAUGAUAAUGACAGUACCGGGAGAAUAAGCUCCGGCUAACUCCGUG
rnacentral:rRNA from 1 species